rnacentral:rRNA from 1 species
AUGCAGUCCUUCCUGAAAGCCUCCAAUGCAGGAAGACGUGCAUCCCAGGACGAGGUGGUUCGAGCAUGGGUGAGGCAGCUCCGUGAAUUGGCCUUCGACGUGGAGGACUGCGUCGAGUUCGUGAUCCAGCUCGACAAGGCAUCACCCUGCGACUGGGUGUGGCGUCUGGCCUCGACAAUCCCUUUUGUGGCGGGGCGGCCGCUGCCCCUGGAUGUGGCGGUGGCGGAUAUAAAGCGGCUCAAGGUGAGGGUGGAGGACCUAAGCCAGAGGAACACACGCUACAACCUCUUUAGUAGCAGCGGCGGCGAUGGCGGUGGCAACGACUCCUCAGAUCAGCAGCAGCUACUGCACGUUGCGGGUCGUGCUACUAGUAGUACACCGGCGACAAUGGAGGUAUUCCACUUCCUAAGGGAGGCUUGGGAGUCCAUGGGAAAGCUGAUCCACACCAACGGCGAGCUCAAAAGGUUGAUCGACUGUGAAGAUAGUGAGCUCAAAGUGAUCUCGCUAUGGCGAAGUCAGCAGGCUGAUGUUGUUGGUGAACUUGGGUGGGUGAGUAUUGCGAAGAAGGCGUAUGAUGACCCAGAAAUCUGCCAAGAGUUCAAGAAUCGCGCCUGGUUAAAGCUGAGUACGCGCCAUCCUUUUAACCCAAUUGAGUUUCUCAACAAGUUGCUCAGUCAAUUCACUAAAUCUCACCCUGACCACCAGCACCAUGGCAAUAUAUCUGAGCUCAUGGUGCUAGUCAGCAAGCAUAGGUAUCUUGUUGUUCUAGAGACAGAGUUAUCUAGUGUCGCAGACUGGGAUGCCAUCAGAAUGUGCCUUCUGGACGGCAAAAACGGCAGCCGGAUCAUCAUCUCCACCAAGCAUUUGGGAAUUGCCCUUGUCUGCACGGGGGACCCGUACCAAGUAUCGGAGCUUAAACGCUUCUCCCACGAUCGGUCUCUUUGUGCCAUUAUACCCAAGGGUUGUCGGCAUCGCAUUGGCAUGGGUGAAUUAUUUUGGCAAUUACGGCGACCACACGGUGUUAUCUCCUUGUUCUGGCGGACUAUUGAAGAGUACGAUCAAUUCAUGAUUAGACAAUUAUCCUACGUCAUCCGCAGGAAUAGGAUAUUCGACGGAGUGAAAUUUGACUUCAUUCUCCACCCUGGUGACAUUGAAGAAGCUGGCCUGUUCAAACUGGUUGACUUUGCCCUAGUCAUACUUCUGCAAUCGUACCCAGAAGACGAACGAGAAGAAGAACGUAAAAAGCUCAUGGAGAUGAAUAAUGACCUGCAUAUAUAUGAAGUGUGCCGUAAGUUUCUGACUGAACACGAUUGCCUCAUCUUCAUCACGAACCUGGAGUCCACCACAGACUGGAACUUGAUUAAGCAGCAUCUCUUAUGUGAGUAUACUAGAGGUUACAUCAUUGUUAUUACAAGUAAACAAAGUGUGGCCACACACUGUGUAGAUCACAAACAACAUCGGGUGCUCAACAUGGAAGAACUGACGAAGGGUUGUGAGCAUCUAAUCGGCAUGAGUGAAUUAUUUUGGCAAUUUAAACAACAUGAUGGUGUUGUAUCCUUGUUCUGGCGGACUGAUCAAGAGAGAUCACACUUAAUGGAUAAGCUAUACUCCUGCCAGUAUAGGGUAUUCGACGGAGUGAAAUAUGGGCUGUUCAAACUAGUUGACUUAGCUUUGUUCAUACUUGCACAGUCGUACCCAGAAGAUGAACAAGAAAAAGAAUGUAAAAAGCUGAGGGGGAUGAAUAAUGACCAGGAUAUAAUUGAAAGGGGUCAUAAGUUUCUGACUGAACACAAGUGCCUCAUCUUUAUCACGAACCUAGAGUCCACCACGGCCUGGAACUUGAUUAAACAAGAUCUAUUAUUUGAGUCUACUAGAGGUUACAUUGUUGUUAUUACAGGUGACCAAAGUGUGGCCACACAUUGUGUAGAUCACAAACAAGAUCGGGUCCUCGAUGUUGAAGAUCUAAUGAAGGGUUGUGGGCAUCACAUUGGGAUGAGUGCAUUAUUUUGGCAAUUAAGAGGACAGCAUCGUGUCAUCUCAUUGUUCUGGCGGACCAAUGAAGAGAUAUUAGAAUUAUUGGUUAGACUGAACUCCUAUAAGGCCCGCAAGUAUAGGGUAUUUGACGGAGUGAAAUUUGAAUACCAUUGCAAUUUUGUUGGUGAUGGAGAUGGGUUGUUCAAGCUGGUUGACUUGGCUCUAGUCAUACUUAUUCAAUCGUACCCAGCAAAUGAACUAGAAAAAAAAGGGGAAAAGCUCAGGAUGAUGAAUAGUGACCUGGAAAUAAUUGAAAUGAGUCGCAAGUUCCUGACUGAGCACAAGUGCCUCAUCUUUAUCACAAACUUGCAGUCCACCACGGACUGGAACUUGAUUAAACACCACCUCGUAUGCGAGUCUACUAGAGGUUGCAUUGUUGUUAUUACAUGUGACCAAAGUGUGGCCACACACUGUGUAGAUCACGAACGAGAUCGGGUGCUCAAUAUGGAAGAUCUGAUGAAGUCUCAUUCGCCGGAGGAGAGCGGACUUGCAGAUGGAGAAGGCGACAUAAAGGAAGAGGAUAAAUCUGAACCUUAUGCCAUUGGUGGGUAUGAAGGUGGAGAUGCAGUCUUUGAUGAACUCCGUGCUGGUAAGACGUUGUCUGUAUGGGGAAUUGCUGGUCUUGGGAAAUCAUUUCUUGUCAGACACUAUUACAACAGGCUAAUAUCUAAGCAAGUGUACAGAAUGUAUGGCUGGGUGGAUGUGCCCCAUCCAUUCAAUUUGACAGACUUGUGUCAGAGAUUGCUUCUGGAUCUUUUAUCGGAUGAUGGUGAUGCCAAGGAAGCUGUAGCAAUUGGUAUGUUUGGAGGCCAAGACCCUAUUCAAGCGUGUAUGAUAGUUCUACUUGAAUACAAAUGCCUCCUUGUUUUCAAUGGUCUACGGUCCACGCAUGAUUGGGACUUGAUAAACAAAACCUUGUUAUCCCGGCCUAUUAGUGGGACAAAUAUUGUCAUUACAGGUGAAGAAAGAAUCGCCACACAUUGUUCUGAAAACUAUUAUAUUCACAACGUCAAGGGUCUACAACCUGAUGCAGCCCUUGAUCUCUUCACAAAGAUAAGUUUGUGUGGCAAGCUACGAUCCACCGAGGCAACGGAGAAUACAAAAAUUAUCCUCUCCAAGUGUGGUGGGCUUCCAGAAGUAAUAGUUGCUAUAGGAAACCAAAUCCGCCACCUCAUCGUGACACGACGGACAGAUUCGUUGUUGCAGAUCCUGAGGCAUAUAAAUGUUGACUUCAUGGGAUACUUACAGUUGCAGCUUCCUAGUUUGAAGGGUCUAUUUUGUUGGAUGCAAUCCUAUUUUGAUGCUUGCUCGGAUGAACUCAAACCAUGCAUCUUCUAUAUGUCAGUCUUCCCUGCAGACGAACACAUUAGAUGGAGGCGGUUGCUCCGGCGGUGGAUUGCAGAAGGUUACUUGCCUGAUGGUGCUGGUGCGGAGGGAGAGAAUCUCGUACUCGAGCUCUUGAAGUUAAGCAUAUCAUACUGGGGGGAUGGGAAGGAGACACUGAAGAUAAAGUUCAAGCUCAAUGGUUUCUUCCGUGAAUACAUCAAGUCACGACCAAUGGAAGAUAACCGUGUGUUUGAACUAGACGGGAGUUGCAGCCCCAGCCCGCGACUCACUGGGCAACACCUCACCAUAAGCAGCAGUUGGGACAGAGAUAAGAUUGUAUUUGAGAGCCUGGACUUGUCACGGUUACGGUCUUUCACCGUGUUCGGGGACUGGAGGUCAUUCCUCAUCUGUGACAAGAUGAAGCUGCUCCGGGUGCUUGAUCUGGAGGGCACUAGUACAGCAGAUAGUACUUCUAGUGUAAGCAAUGGUGAUCUAGAGCUGAUCGCCGAGCUGUUGCCACGCCUCAAGUUCAUGUCCCUACGAGGAUGCAUGCACAUCACUCGUCUCCCGGAUUCAUUGGGUGACAUGAAGCAAUUGGAUACUCUGGAUGCCAAGGACACCUCUAUAGUCGAGCUGCCACCUGCUAUCAUCACCAAGCUACACAAGCUGCAGUACAUUCGUGUAGGCGCCACUGGGUCUAGACUUCUCUUAGUACCAGCCGCACCGGCAGGAACAUUAUCUCCACCAACACCACCAGGAGACGAUGGUCAUGAUGGCACGAGCCCUUUCCUCCGAGCCAAAGCAGCAUUGUCAGGAGUGGUCCAAGGGGCAUCAGCAGGAGCAAGGAAGAUGGCACAUGAUUUCGAAGAAACCUGCAGUAGACUGUGGCACUUGAAGAAUGUGCGCAGACGCCGACGUGUUGCUAAGAAUGGCGGUGGUGUUGAGGUUGUUACCGCUGCUGCAAAGGGGAUUGGGAAGCUGACGGAAUUGCAUACACUAGGUGUCGUGAAUGUUGCAGGUGGGACAGGCGCCCUCCUCUUCCUCAAGGAGCUCAAGAAACUUACCCAAUUGCGCAAGCUCGGGUUGUCCGGCAUCACCUGUGAAAACUGGAAAAAGUUGUGUUGUGCCAUCUCGGGUCACCGCCAUCUCAAGAUCCUGGCGCUGCAACUGCUGCUGCUGGAGGGUGGCAGCUAUGACUUUGCUCGUUUUGAUGACAUCUUCGAGCCACCCAAGACCCUAAUGCGCCUUAAGGUACUGUACACUGGUAAUGCAGUUGCAGGCGCAGCAGGUUGUGCGUGGAUAAGGCCAACCUGGAUUAUACAGCCAAGGAAUUUGAAAAGGUUUGACCAUGCCUUGACGAUAUCAAGUCAAGAGGACGCAGACCUAUUUGCAGAACGAUUUUCAGCAGGUGAAAAUCUUCUUCGUAUCAAACCAAUUGAGAAGUACCUCAAUUUUGCUAGAGGGCUCGCACUCGACACCCUCAGCAUUGAUUGCAGUAGCACCAGCUCAACGGUCACUUUUGAAGGUUUGGAAACAUUCAAAGUCAAAGAGCUCAACAUUCACUGCUGCAGCUCUUGUGGGUUGUCGUGUUUGAGGAUUUUCGGGCUAAAGUGCUUACAAAAUUUGGAGCAAGUAUUGGUAUCGGGUCCAUGCAGCAAUACCUACGAGCAAGACUUGCGCCGGGAACUUAGGGAGCACCCAGACAAACCUGAGCUGAAGCUGUUAUAA